AAACCUGAGAAACCCAAAAGAUCGAAUGGGGAGAUUCAUCGUCAGCGGUCUUGGUACGUGUGCGGCUCGCGAUGCCGGAGACUUCGGUCUCCAGGCACUGUCCGCAUGUUUUUUUCUCGACCGUCGGCGUGCACUUCUCCCCUAGUAGGACGUCGCGACCCGUUGGGUGUCGGUCUACGGCCCGGGCGGUAGCCUGUCUCGUGUUAGCAACACGGCGUAACGCGAUUCAGACCCCCGGUCGCCCGACCGGCUGCUCGGCGGUACUCGUAAGGUAUCUGGCCGCAAAUAUUCGAACUGCGUCCGGCCCGUCGCAAGCGAGGCAAGUGUUUCCCGGUUGUACGGAUCUAAUGCCGUCACCGGGCCUUGCCAGCUGUUGGUUGACGGUGUCCUGGGACUGGCUAAUUGAUACCGGUCGGCGACGCUACUGCUUUGGGUACUUUCAGGACCCGUCUUGAAACACGGACCAAGGAGUCUAACAUGUGCGCGAGUCAUUGGGAACUAUUAAGCCUAAAGGCGCAAUGAAAGUGAAGGUCGGCCUUGCGCCGACCGAGGGAGGAUGGGCCGCGUCACGAUGCGGUCCCGCACUCCCGGGGCGUCUCGUUCUCAU
rnacentral:rRNA from 1 species